CCCCACCGCGUACUUGCCGGUAUAAAAACGCAAGACGCGUCCACUCGGCCUUUUUUCCGGGCGUCGUCGUUGACUUUUAAUAAACUAGAAAAGUGAGAUAUAGAACACGUGGCCGCUGACAGGGGUCUCCCUGUCGGCGGCCGCCAGCGCCAAGGUCGAGCGGGCGCCGCGAUCGCUCCCUGCCGCGCCGGCGCAGCGCUGCCGUGCUGCAGUGCUGCAAAUGCAUCCACAUUCCACCACACGUCCAUCCACGAGCAGUCGAUAAACUAUAGUUCACCCGUGAAAGCGUUCCUCUGCAGGUGGCCGCGACGUUUUUGAACCACUUUCCUUUGCGGCAACUUACAGAGCACGCAAUGCUUCGCCCUCAUUAACAACAACAACAAAUAAGUCAACUCAUCAACACCACAGCAUAGUACUAGAAUCAAAAGCUUUUUUUUUACGAGAAUCGGUACAUUUUUGAAAACAUUUAGGAUUAGGUCCGUUUUUUUUAAAUGCUAACUUUAAGUAAAAUACGUUGUGAGCACAAUUAGUAGAAUUUAUUUUACAUUGGAUUUAUAUUUCGGGAACUCAAAUGCUACUUCAAUAAUUAUUACACUGUCCGUAGAAUUAGUUUACUCGUUAAUGCACACAUUUGCCGACCUCCCUAGCCACUCUAGCUGUUAAGAAAUGUCACAAACUCAUAACAAAUAAAAUAAAAUAUCUUUUUAUUAUAUAAUCUUAAUAUUAAGAAUAUUUUUUUAGUUUUGUCAUAUAUACAUCUUUUAAUUAUUCUGUUAAGAAUAAUUCUAAGAUAUAAUAUGACUACUUAGUAUCCGAAAAUAAGUAACGCAUAAAUGACUACGUUACAACCGCCUACUGUACAUAUCUUCGAAUUAACUAUGGUUCUGCGCAAAUAUCACUCUCAAGCAUACACUUAUAUUACCAAACAUCUGCGAUGUCACAUACUUCCCUACGUUUAUCUGUAUCGAGUUUUAGUUUUUAGUUUUUUAUUAUUUUUCUUGGUGGUGGGUUUUUUUCAAAUAAAGUUUUUGGUUUAUUCAGCAUAA